rnacentral:rRNA from 1 species
AACGGGGGGAGCAGGCGUUACUCAACAUUAUUGGGCGUAAAGGGCAAGUAGACGGUUUUGUAUAGUUAAAAAUGAAAGAACAGAUCUCAAAUGUGUAGACAUUUUUAAAACGCAAAAACUAGAGUAUAAGAGAGGAUCAUAGUACACCGAGUGGAGAAGUGAAAUUCGUAGAUAUUGCGGGGGACUCCUAAGAGGCGAAGGCGAUGAUCUGGCUUAUGACUGACGUUGAAGGGCGAAGGCAUGGGGAGCAAACAGG